GAUGAACGCUGGCGGCGUGCCUAAUACAUGCAAGUCGAGCGAAUGGAUUAAGAGCUUGCUCUUAUGAAGUUAGCGGCGGACGGGUGAGUAACACGUGGGUAACCUGCCCAUAAGACUGGGAUAACUCCGGGAAACCGGGGCUAAUACCGGAUAACAUUUUGAACCGCAUGGUUCGAAAUUGAAAGGCGGCUUCGGCUGUCACUUAUGGAUGGACCCGCGUCGCAUGAGCUAGUUGGUGAGGUAACGGCUCACCAAGGCAACGAUGCGUAGCCGACCUGAGAGGGUGAUCGGCCACACUGGGACUGAGACACGGCCCAGACUCCUACGGGAGGCAGCAGUAGGGAAUCUUCCGCAAUGGACGAAAGUCUGACGGAGCAACGCCGCGUGAGUGAUGAAGGCUUUCGGGUCGUAAAACUCUGUUGUUAGGGAAGAACAAGUGCUAGUUGAAUAAGCUGACACCUUGACGGUACCUAACCAGAAAGCCACGGCUAACUACGUGCCAGCCGCCGCCGUAAUAC
rnacentral:rRNA from 1 species